AAGGAAACGGUGGAAGCUUUCACUACAACAGAAACAGAAAGGACUUGCAGUUUCACAGAAGCAACUGCCAGGCGUGCGAGUCGCCACGAGACUGGAGGCCCGCCCUGCUGGAACCAACUGGGGGAAUCCAGAAGGACGGUGGCGCGUGCUUGCUUCCCACGGUUUGAGCGUCUGCCCGGAGCCCCAAGGACACGGGCCCAGAGAGGGUGAGUGCUCAGCCCUCGGGCAUACAGGAGAGGCAGGGCUGGUCGGCUGCUGGGCCUCGUGGGGCCAGGAGGCCGAGCUGCCCCUCCCGGUGCCCUCUGAAGGGUGGUGGUCCCCUCCUGUCAGACCGCGGGGACUGAGGAGUGAUAACCUAGCGGGCGCCUGAUAACCUUUGGGCCUCGAGGGGCCUCUGAGAAGCGCCGAGGACGGGGGAAGUGGGGGUGGGGGUGGGGCGUGGAGGUGCUGCGUGUCUGGCUGCCACCCCUUCUUUCCACCCUGCAGGCUCAGGUCAGAGCUGGACCCAGGGGACCCCGCGUCGGGAGAGCCGGCACGGAGGGGCCGCAGGCACUCACCCCGAACAUUUGCCGCAGGUCGGGGUCCCUGAACCGGAAGGGGAUGUUGGAGACGUGUAGCCGCUUGGGCUGCUGCUUCUCUGUGUGGUCGGAGGAGUGGAGCGGCUGGCUGUCCGUCUGUGCCGCCUCGUCUGUCUGCUGCGGGGAGAGGACCCGGGCUGUGAGGUACCCCUCUCGGCCCCCGUCCCGUCCCGUCCCGUCCGGAGCGGAGGCUCUGAAGGCCGGACCCUCCAACUCCCUGGGCCUCCCCAUCCUGGGGCUGGGGGCCACAGGGGGGCCGGGCAGGCGGUUCUCACUAGGUGCGGCCCGGCGGCACCUUGACCUCCGAGGCCCGCCCUCCAGGCCUCUGCACGUGGCUGUGCCCGACACCACAGACGCCAACGUGGGGCCAGUGACCCUGGCCGGGUGCGCUGUCACCUCCUGGCUCAGCCCUGAGCACACAGGUCUGACCUUAGCGGUCCCUCGGCUGCACCGACUAUCCUGACCCUCAAAGUCAAGGGUUCUCCCUUACCCCACACAACCCAAGUUCUGGGAGCACGGGGACCUUCUGGCUUCCUAGGCCUGAUGAGAAGCCGGGGAGAUGUCAGAACCCGCCCCCAGGCACGCGUGCCCGCGAGGUGCUGCCCCUCAUCCUAGCCCCCGUGCUGUGCAGCACCCAGACCCUCCGCAGGGACAGGCCACCAGCACACCAGCAGGCCAGCCCCCAGCCUGGUUCCGUCCCUGCCGAAGCACGGUGCCGACGGCAUGCGGCCUGGGCUCCAUCGACGUGUGCCCGGUGGGCGAGCAGGUGACCGACCCGAGUCUCACUGUGGCUCAGCUCUCCGGCGAGGCGAGUGGGAGUGUCCAGGGGCAGCUAUCAGCCAGCGACAGACACGGUGGGUGGCACCCACCCCGGGGGCUCCACUGUGUCCCCAGGUGCCCCGCAGGGAUGCCAAGGCUUUCUUGGGGUCGCGUCCCCGGCACUCUGCGUGGCCUUGCGUCCUUGUCCGGGGUCUGCGCCUCGGACGGGACCUUGGCUGGAGGCGCGAGGGGCGCCCUGAGCUUCCCUCUGCCCGGAGGGAGCGCAGGGGGAGGGUCCCCCGAGGCCCAGGCUGGACUUCGCAAGAGUGGAGGUGCUGGUGGCCGCGGCCUCGCUCACGGCUGGAGGAGCACGGACAGCUGAGCAGCGGCGACGGUCGGGGUGCAGAGAGCCGCCCGGACACCGCUUCCCACGGGCCUCCGAGAACUGCCGCUUCGCUGGUUCCCUUUCUGCCGGGCUUCCUUGCCGGCAAUCGAGGGGGCGCUGGCCGCUACCACAGGCCUCCCGGAGUCCGGACAGCUCCAGGAGCGAAGCACGCAGGGGACCGAAGGCCACAGCUCCUGCUAGCGUGGCACCUGCUGGCUGGGGAGGACAGAGAGGAGGCUGUGGUGAGCGGAGGACCCCGCCCACAAGGAUGGGAUGUGUGACCCAGCACAGAGGUGUUCAGGCUUCAGCUGGGAGCUCUGGGCAGCUUCUCUGGAAAGAAGAAGGUGGCUAGCGGAAUCUCAGAGUAAGAUCUCCUCUCCUCCCAAGGUGGGCAGCCUCUGCCUGUGGAGACACUCCAGGGGCUGAGUGCUCCUGGCCUCCAGCGGUGGCCCAGCUCUUUGCCUGGGUGUCUUCAGGUCCUCUGCAGGGCUCAGGUGGCCCCGGGGCAUGAUGAGUCCCGGUCGCUCCUCCUCCGUAUCCCUGGACGGAAGACCUACGGACCCUGACCCCCUUGCAGGGACUUGGAGAGACCCGAGCCGACCGAAGGAAGGUCAAGGCUCCCCAUUCACCAGGCCCGGGAGCUCUCCUUGGGAGGCUCUCGGCCUGGGAAGUGAGAUGCUCACCUCUCGGCACGAAUCCUUUCUGGGACUCCUGAGCCCCUUCCACGACCCAUACUCUGUCCCAUGACUGGCCCCCUGUUGACUUUUACGUCCUUGACUGGUGGGAGCCGGUGGCCACCGCGGGGCAGGGUGGUCAUUUCUUCCGUGUGCCCCCAAUGCUGGCUCAGUGCGUGCCCCCCACAACCGUCUGCCCAGUGAAGGAAGACUUCAUGCUUUCCCCCGUUAGGCCUCAUCUGGUGAUGCAGGAUGUCAAGCAGGCCCCCUGGCUGGUGUCUGCCGUGCAGGUUUGUGUGGUUGGCCCCCCACUCCGAGGCAUCUGCCCGUCUGGCCAUCCUGUCUCUUGUACUUGCUCCCAGGGCAAAUUCCCGGGCCUCAGUGUCUGCUCACGAGGAGGUCACGUCGCGGGAGGUUUGGCCGGACACAUGCUUUCCCAUCAGAACGGGCCCAUCUGCCAGCACUGACAGUGCACAGAAAGGCCCCUCUCUCUGGCUCUGGUGUGAGCACACCCCCUCGUAGGUUUCAGGAAGCAGAAGCAGACAGAGCGGCCCCAGAAACCUGAGGCCACUAAAGUCACAGGAAACCGUAGGAAAGGACCCCACGUGACGUCGUGCACCCUGUACCCAGCAUCAGCCAGCGGUGACCUUUCGUGACGCCAUCCCACUGAUCCAGACAAGACACAGAACUCUCUCUCGUUAUCCUUAGCGCCACACCCACACCCUCCUCCCCGAGGAAGGCUUUCAGCCUUGAUUUUCCCAUUGGUAAAGGAGGUGAAGAAGAACCUCUGCCCAGAAGGUGAUCAGAGUUGAUCCCACAGAACUCGGAGUCCGCACCACACGGCCCCCCUGAUGGCCCUGAUGGUGAGGUGUGGUCUGUGGGGCACGGAAGGUUCUGGCUCUGUCUCGAUGACAACCCCUGAGCACAUCUCCAGAAGACCCCACCCCACCCUUGCAGGGCUGCUGCCCCAGGCCCUGGGCAGGAUCCCGGCAGAGCAGAGGGGUCUUCAAAUGGGGAGCCUGGACCCAGCAGCAUCACCUGGGAUCUUAUCAGCAGUGCAAGGUCUCGCCCUCACCCCAGACCUCCCACUGCAACCUGGGCACCUGUGGGAGCCCCUGAUGUGGCCCUGGGAGGAAGGGGCCCAGAGAAGGGACUGGGGUCCUCAGGCUGUCAGAGGGGAGGUGGUGGGGAGGGCGGGCUUUCAGCAGCCCCUCUGAGCAGGCGAGACACUCUCUGGCCUUCUGAGGGUGUCCCCAGGGGAGAGAAUGCCAUCUCUGAGAAUCCCGCCCCCCGGCGCGGAAGGACCCCUGCACAGACUUACGGUACUUUCCUGAUGUCUCCCUGGGGAGGAGCCCCGUGCACUCCCAUGUUGCCCCUGUCACGCCGACCGACCGUGGCGGGUUUCGAGGCUUGUUUCCUUGUCCACCCCUCCCCCUGUAUGAGAUAGGUGCUCCUCUGCCCCGUCCUUCAUCGGUUAUACUCAUUCACCCAUAACUGUGGGGGCGCCAGGCCCAGGGCCCGUGGCGGAGAGUCAGGCGGGAUGGGCAGGCCGGCCCGUUCAGACUGCAAUCCGGAGCGGGGGUAAAUUCGGACAAUUACCCAGAGCGUGAGGUGCCCUGGCCUCAGGAGGGUGUUGACGAACGCGCGAACGCCCCGGGCUGGGUGUUCUGUCUUCCGGCCGGGGCCCCGUCCACCUGCCCACCUCCCUGCUAGUGGGGGGCUGGGGGCCCACUCUCUGCCAGCACCCCCCCCACCCAGUGCCAGCCUCCCUUCUCAGCGCCCACUACCCCUAACUCCUGGGGUGACCCUGCUGAGCGCCGAUGGCCCCGAUGGUGAGGAGCCGAAAGUCCUGUCCUCCUCCUGUGCAAAGCUGCCGGGUCCCACCUCUGUCUGCAGAGACUGAAGCCCGGGCAGUGCCGGAGUUCCAGAGAGCAGGAGGGGAACACGCGUGUGCAUGCACACACGUACACUUAGCCCAGCCCUUCUCACCAACACGUGCUCACGGUUCUGGUGACCCACUGCAAUCCCUCCCGUGACCGGAAUGGGAGAACCCCCUGGACCCCGCAGCCUCGUCAGCCUACACCCCGGAUUCACUGCUUCCCCGCAGAGUCUCUUGAAGUCCUGACGUGGCCAUCAUGUACGGUCUGCCUCCCGCCCCAGGACGUCGUCUCCAGGCAGACCUCACCUGUUGCCGAAUCAUCUCCUGCACCCAGAGCGUGAGGACACACAGUAGGACUGUGACAGAGGCGCACCUCGCGGACGAGCGAACGUGUCGUGACAGCGGUCACCAACAGAGCUAAAGAGGGAGUGGAGGCACGGAGGCAGAGACCAGGGCACCUGCCGGGGGUUCCGGAGCAGGUGAGCACACAGAGUCCUCCCGUCCCACACCCUCCGCUGCACGUGUGCUCACUCCAGAUGCGAGGGGGGGACGGCCCGAGGCGAGUCUGCAGGCGGAGGGUGGUGGCCUGCCCGGUGCUGGGCUGGAACCCGCCCCUUCCAGCUGCUGCCGGCUCACGAGUACACGAGUGCUGACCCGGAACAUCGUUUUCCAACUCCACGUUUGGUGACCUCACCUUGGCAGCGUGAGAUCGGCCAGGGUGGGAGCAUCCACACCCCACGAACUGGCAAGUGCCACCCUUCAGGGCUGGGUCUGUCCCCGGAGAGCUGGCUGUUAAGACCCUGGGGCCCACGUCCCGGCAGAGAAGCGGUACCGAGCACGACUGUCUGCAAAGCCAGAGUUAAGUGCGGCCCGAGCAGCUUUACGGAGCCCCUCCUCCGAGCCUGCGUUUGAACGGGAACGAGGCGCAGGCUGUGUCCGCGAGGAGCUUCUGGCCCAGCAGGAGCCAGCCAUGCCCAGAAGACACUACCAGAGGCUGGAUGGAAGGCGCCCCCACUGGGUUCUGCUCGCUACCAACGCGAAGGCUCCUUUGGUCUUGGAACAGCUCUGCCAGAAAGCUCCUCCACGCACUGAGCUGAAACCUGCCUUCUGGAAACUUCCACCCAGCACCCGGCUCAGCCUCGGGGCCUGCACCCCUGCAGUCCACGGACUCACGCUCCCGUGGCUGACGCUCCAAGGAGCGGAGAAUCCACACGGCUACACCUGCCACUGUUGCUCCCGGUGCACGUCCAGGAACGUGCUGUGGUUGCUCCUGUCUUAUGGGUGAGAGAAGGCAGGCGAGGAGCCGUGCCUGAACCCAGGCCGGCGUCCUGGACUGUCGCCACGGCUACAGCACCUUCCCUUUCCCAGGUGCAGGGGGGUCUGGUAUGGGGGCCACGGGAGGGAGUGUCACGGAGCAAGGGGACCACUCGGGACAACGCCAUGAACCGUGGGAAAGCAUGCGGACGCUCAGGGUGGGUGACAGACAGGAAAGGGGUGGAGAAGAGCGUCCCUCGGGGCAUAGAGGAAAAUCACUAACACAUUUCGUUGUCUUCUCGGAGGGGACCUUCCUGUUUUCUUAAUGUGCCAAUCACCGGAAAGUGAAGUUUUGGGGAAAAAGACGACGAAAGUAUGGGAAGGCACGGGGACGAAGCCGGGUGCAGGAUGACGUCAAGGGGACGGGUGCCCACUGACUCUUGUCCCGGCAAGCCCCCGCGUCAGGACUCUUUUAGCAUUCCUGCCACCAUGAUGCUUGGUUCUGGCAGAGAGGUCCUGCUGUGAUUCAAAGAGCGCUGGGCAGGAGUAUCUGCUUUUCUGGAUAUUUCCAAGGAUGGUGGAGCCCGGCCCUGCCUCCAGGGACAACCGGGAUCUCAGAAAGGGACCCUGGAGGAUGUUCUACCCGCUCGGCUGAGGAGGAAGUCGGCAGCGGGGAGGUGGUGAAUGCAGACGGGGCGGGAGGGUGAGCUAUGGAGAGCAGGAACACCACUGCCGGAUACGCACGAGGACCCACCGGCUGCCAGGUUCUGGGUGCCUGGGGCGCACCAGUGAGCACGGGCCGUCUCAGGGAGCAGACACCCCUGUGGAGGCCCCCUGGGCAUUAGCUAAAUUUGAAAUGCAUGAUGUGAUUUUCAGGGGCAGCCAAUUAGCGUCUCCAUGGCGGUUGGCUCAGGUUAACCUUCCCAUCCUGGGCCACCAACUGAGAGCAGGGGCCUGGCCCGGAGGCGGCUGGUGACUCACAGAGGGGCUCCCCACGCACACGGCGGGGGGCACAGAAAUGGAAAUAAACAGUCCCAACAGCGAUCCCAGGGAGAAACAAGAGGCUGCUCCAGGAUUCAGCCGGGGUCACUGGCACGGGGGCCAACGGGGUGGACAGCCACAGCACAUGGCUUUCUCUCUCGCAGGUUCUUGCCCUCUGACUCAGUUGCAUCCUUACCCCAAAACAGGCCAUCUUCAUGGCUCACGGGCUUCUGACCCCAACUUUUGGGGCUCAGGCACUGGCAGGAGAGCAUCCUUGCCAGGCGGGAACAGAGGCACUCCAGCCAGCCCAGGCACCCCGGGAAAGCUGGGUCCUAGCAGUGAGAGGGUGAGCCUGGGAGCCCUGGGGGGCAGGGCCAGCCCCCAUCUCCUGCCGAGACCCCACUGGGCCCCCUUGCACCCCAUCCAGCAGAUUCACAGCAGAGGCUUCGCUCCUGGACACGCUCAUGCCUCCCUCCCCAAGUUCAAGAUGUUAUUCCAGAGGUGUGCGGUGGGAGGCAGUGGUGGGGAGUCCUUGCUGGUGAGCACCUUAAGGCCAGAGACUUCGGGGUGAGGAUUGUCUAAGCAGGUCAUGCUGGGGCACGCCUCAGGGCACAGCUGGGCUGCUAUCACAGAACAGGCAACCCGGAUGGGCAGGGUGAUGCCUUAGCAUUCUAGAAUUCUAUUCUAGAACGUUCUAGUAUUCUAGAACGUUCUAGAAUCUCUGCGGUAGGGGUUGGGGGGAGGGUGUGGAGCUCCAGACCAGGAGAACCCUGAGGGCCAGAGCUCUUCACGAGAAGUGAGCCCCUGACACAGUUCAGGCACACAGCAAGUGCUUGGUAAAUGCUCAGUAACGCGGGGGAUUGUGGGAGUGACAGCCACUGGUUGAGGGUUUUCGAGAGCCCGGCACUGGGCUUAGGAGUAACAACGUGCCGUUUCGUGUGACGGUCAGACGACCUGUGAGCUGGCCUCCUCCAGAAGUUGCCUGCCCGCGUGCACACAGCCAGCACGUUGCAGAGCUGGGAUCCGGGCCCAGGCCCAGCUGACUCAGAGCCACUGGAUGCUGCCAGACCGGCACGGACUGUUGUCUGAAUAGGAGCAGAAGAGGGUGUGCCCUCCACCCACUGCCUGGAAGAGGGUCGGAGGCCCGUGGUGCUCGUUCCCCGUCCCAAGACUCAGGAGGCCUGUUCUGCCGCUCGCUGAGCCUGCUUCCCAGACACCAUUCUAACCGAGCCGCCGGCCAGGGUUUCCUGAGCCCGUCCUGAGAGCCCACCUCUGGGCUGGACGCUUCCCUCUGGUGCUCAGAGGGCUCAGCCCCGGGCCCUCCCGUCCCCACCUCGGUCUUAGCAACUGGCUCCGUGGUGGGUGCGUGUGGUGGGGGGGGGAGCCCUGCUCUGUGGCGUCUACGGUUUCCGUGGCGUAAAACUACCAGCAAGAAGCGUCUGAACGCGGGGCUUGCGGGGACGACUCCAGAGACCCUGGGGCGGGAGAGGGGGCCGCCCCGGUCGGGCUCCCGAUUCACCUCCCUGGUCUGAGCAAGAGGAGGUGUGGGAGGGCCAGGGACACGGUGCUAUGUGUGACGGGGCUCUGUGCAGGGCUGGGGCAGGGGCUGCUGGGAGACCAGGGGUCGGCGGGCCAGGGAGAAGGGGGGGGCAGCGCUGCUUGCUGGGUGGGAGGCUGGGGGCACGAAUCCACCUGAGCGACCGCUCCCCCCACCGCUCCAUCCAACCCGUCUGUGCCCUGGCAGCUGCUUUCGUGUCUUUUAUCAAUUAGGGCUGUCGGAUGGCGCAUCAUACUCCACGUCAUCGCAUUCAGGGACCGUUAGGCUGGCUCUCGGCGGCCUCUCCUCCUUUCCUCCUUCCUUCUCCGCGAGGAGUCUGGUGCCCAGGCCGCCCCGAUGCCCCAGAACACGCAGGGCGCUCCGUGUGUCUGCUCCCACCCCGGGACCGGGAGACACUUUGGGGGAAAGGCAGGCAGAGCCCCCCCAGAUGGGCAGGACCCUGACGCACUGGCAAGUUUACAACCUGGAGUCCGGCUACGCCCCUGGGCGACUCGGCGCGGGCCUCGCUGCGUUCCUGCUGGCCCCUCCACCUGCCCUCCACUCCACCAGAAUCACGGGUCCCCCGCCCCCCCCAUUUGUGUCUCCUCGUCCUGUGUCCACAGCCUCUCAUUUCCCAGUAGGGCCUCAAGCCUCUGCCUCAUUGGCGCUUUGGAGGCUGCAGGUGGGCGAUGGGGCCAGGUCACCCCGUAACCUGCGAGGUCUGAGUGAGGAGCCCUACCCCCAACCACACAGAACACAUGAGGCUUACGUGGGGGCCCAGCCUGGAUUCCCGAUGAGCCCUCAGCACGAGUGCCGGUGCCCCCCACCCCCCGCGGCAUCCCGGGCACCCUGCCUCCGAGGCUGGGAGGCCUGGAGACGUUUGUUCUCGUCUCCCUGCCAUGGCCCAAUUUCUGCGCAUUCGCCAUGAAAGCUGGUGGUGCCGGCCAGAGCGAACGCGGUGCCGGAGCAGGAUGCGGCCGGGCCAGCCUGGCGUGUGCAAAGCAGCUCCGAGGGUGCCCCGCGUGCCCCUUGCCGUGUGUGUGCGCUCAGUGCAAGCUCCGUGUGCCCCGUGAGUGUGCCGGGCGCGCCCCGCGUGCUGUCCGGGGCACCUGCUCUCGUGGACAGAAAAGUACCCCACCAGCCUCCCGUCUCCCCGCUGAGCCGCGGGCACGGCCCCGCCCACAAAUGGGGCUGCAGGCCCAGGCCGUGAGCACCGCCCGAGAACCUGGCCGCCACCGGCAGAAACCGCAGGUCCUUCCCGGGUGAUCCCUGUGCUCACCCCAACUCCAGCGGCUAGGGUGGCGAGCACACCCGGCCCUGGGCCUGCUUAUUUGACGUGGCAGAAAAGAGGCCUCGGAUAGGGCGUCACGGUUUUCUCUCUUUUGCUAAGUGUAUUUCAAUGAAGAGUUUUCCUUGUAAA